rnacentral:lncRNA from 1 species
AGGCAGUGCUUUGAAAAUAGACAGAUGUCACAUUACUUAACUCUCCCACAGAAGCCUACGCUUGCAGGUUGUGUGUGUUUUUCAGGCCUGAAGGAAGGAUAAUCAUCUUAAUGUUUUUCAUGAACAGAGUUGUCACUGGGGGCAUGGGCCUGUGCCAGGAUGGAAUGCUUGAAGUCGUCAUGGACUGCAUGAUCUCAGAUUUCUCAACAGAAUGGAGGAAUGUGAACAGGAGACCACUUCAUUCCACUGCUACUAGAGAGCAGAAGGCCUGCAUUACUACAAGGACCCAGAAUUACUAAAGGUGAGC